AUCCUUUCUGGUUCAUAAAGCGUGAUGAUUGGGUGUUCACGCCAUUGCGUGACAUGUGCCGCCCAUAAGCCUUGUUACGACGUGGGCACAUUACCCGUCUGACA
ensembl:snoRNA Snord13 small nucleolar RNA, C/D box 13